GGAAACGAAACUAGCCAAAAUUGACAUAAAAAGAACUCAAAAUUAGGUACUCUUCUAUCACUACUGUUUUGGAUACUAUUUUGUUCUCAGUCCUCAAUACUUUUCACUCAAAGUUGAAGUACGUCAAAACUACUCGCUUUUGAGUAAAACGGAACUUGAACGCAUCAGCGCCUUUUGUUUUGCUUCCCAUUUUCGCAAAGUAUCCAAAAGGGAGUGUUGAUGCAGUACUCAGCUUUGGCUGAAAAUUUAACACGUACGCCAUAUUGGAUCAAAUUGAUGCGUGCAUUCCGGGUAAGUUUUUCAAUUUUCUCCUUUUUAACUAUGUCCACUGAUAACGCCAACAAUAUUUUUCAGAACACCCGACAGAACCGGCGGCACCGAUGGAAACGUGUGCAUGGAUUUCAGUAUGCUGUUGCCGUCGCUCGGAUUACAACAUUUUCAAUUGAACAGCAUUCCCGAUACCGAUUCUGGAAACAACGGAAGUACCUUGGGCUUGGAGGAGCACCGUGCGAGAUCGGAACAAUUAAGUGUUUAAUUUGUGGCAAGUGAAAUGUGAUUGUAUUUAUUGAAUUGUAUUUGGAUUCGAAAUAAAAUGAAUAAUUUUGUUAUUGUA